UACGUAGGGGGCAAGCGUUGUUCGGAUUUACUGGGCGUAAAGGGCGCGUAGGCGGCCUCUGCAAGUCGACUGUGAAAUCUCCGGGCUUAACCCGGAAAGGUCAGCCGAUACUGCAGGGCUAGAGUGCAGAAGGGGCAACUGGAAUUCUCGGUGUAGCGGUGAAAUGCGUAGAUAUCGAGAGGAACACCUGCGGCGAAGGCGGGUUGCUGGGCUGACACUGACGCUGACAGCGCGAAAGCUAGGGGAGCGAACGGG
rnacentral:rRNA from 1 species